rnacentral:rRNA from 1 species
CAGCCGCCGCGGGAAUACGUAGGGUGCGAGCGUUAAUCGGAAUUACUGGGCGUAAAGCGUGCGUAGGUGGUGGUUUAAGUCCGUUGUGAAAGCCCUGGGCUCAACCUGGGAAUUGCAGUGGAUACUGGAUCACUAGAGUGUGGUAGAGGAUAGUGGAAUUUCCGGUGUAGCAGUGAAAUGCGUAGAUAUCAUGAGGAAGACCAGUUGCGAAGGCGACUCUCUGGGCAAUUCCUGACACUGAGGCACGAAGGCUAGGGGAGCAAACGGGAUUAGAUACCCCAGUAGUCCCUGUCUCUUAUAC